UACGUAGGGUCCGAGCGUUAAUCGGAAUUACUGGGCGUAAAGCGUGCGCAGGCGGUUUUGUAAGCCAGAUGUGAAAGCCCCGGGCUCAACCUGGGAACUGCAUUUGGGACUGCAAGGCUGGAGUACGGCAGAGGGAGGUGGAAUUCCACGUGUAGCAGUGAAAUGCGUAGAGAUGUGGAGGAACACCGAUGGCGAAGGCAGCCUCCUGGGCUAGUACUGACGCUCAUGCACGAAAGCGUGGGGAUCAAACAGG
rnacentral:rRNA from 1 species